rnacentral:rRNA from 1 species
CCUACGGGUGGCAGCAGUGAGGAAUAUUGGUCAAUGGACGAGAGUCUGAACCAGCCAAGUAGCGUGAAGGAUGACUGCCCUAUGGGUUGUAAACUUCUUUUAUCAAGGAAUAAAACGAGGCACGUGUGCCUUUUUGCAUGUACUUUAUGAAUAAGGAUCGGCUAACUCCGUGCCAGCAGCCGCGGUAAUACGGAGGAUCCGAGCGUUAUCCGGAUUUAUUGGGUUUAAAGGGAGCGUAGAUGGGUUGUUAAGUCAGUUGUGAAAGGUUGCGGCUCAACCGUAAAAUUGCAAUUGAUACUGGCAGUCUUGAGUACAGUUGAGGUAGGCGGAAUUCGUGGUGUAGCGGUGAAAUGCUUAGAUAUCACGAAGAACCCCGAUUGCGAAGGCAGCUUACUAAACUGUGACUGACAUUGAUGCUCGAAAGUGUGGGUAUCAAACAGGAUUAGAUACCCUGGUAGUC